rnacentral:rRNA from 1 species
AUCUACAGCCAUACCACCCUGAACGCACCUGCUCUAGUCUGAUCUCAGGAGCUAAGCAGGGUCAGGCCUGGUUAGUACUUGGAGGGGAGAAUCAUUAUAGUACUGUUGGUU